GACGAACGCUGGCGGCGUGCCUAAUACAUGCAAGUUGAGCGCUGAAGGUUGGUACUUGUACCAACUGGAUGAGCAGCGAACGGGUGAGUAACGCGUGGGGAAUCUGCCUUUGAGCGGGGGACAACAUUUGGAAACGAAUGCUAAUACCGCAUAAAAACUUUAAACACAAGUUUCAAGAUUGAAAGAUGCAAUUGCAUCACUCAAAGAUGAUCUCGCGUUGUAUUAGCUAGUUGGUGAGGUAAAGGCCCACCAAGGCGAUGAUACAUAGCCGACCUGAGAGGGGGAUCCGGCACAUUGGGACUGAGACCCGGCCCAAACUCCUACGGGGAGCAGCAGUAGGGAAACUUCGGCAAUGGACGAAAGUCUGACCGAGCAACGCCGCGUGAGUGAAGAAGGUUUUCGGGUCGUAAAACUCUGGUGGUAGGGAAGAACGUUGGGGGGAGUGGAAAGCGCACCAAGUGACGGUAACUACCCAGAAAGGGACGGCUAACUACGUG
rnacentral:rRNA from 1 species